CGAGUGAGAACACACAGAGCAAUGACAGCUGCAGCAGUGGGCCCAGAACCAGGUGUCCGCCUGGGCUUGCCAUGAGGAAUUCGGAAAGGAAUUCCCAGGUGUGACCUGGUUCACAGGAGCCCAUGGGAGCUUCGUGAAAGUGGAAAGAGGAUUUGAACUUGGUGGAGAGAAGAGAGGUGGAGGAAAAUGCAGAAAGGACCUCAGAGGCGCCGCUGCAGCCCCUCCUGUGGCCUGGAAUCCGAUCCCGGGCUGCAACCCAGGAGGCCUGCGGAGAUGGAAGACGAUGGCUGCAGGGAAGACCAGAGCCUGGCAUAAGAAUCAGCUGCUUCUGAUGGCUUCGCCCUUGAGCCCCAUGAUGAGGGAAGAGUUAAAAAGGUAAGAGAAGCUAGUGAGGAAAUGGAAGUGGCGUGCAGAAUCCCAGCUGCAGAGGGGUCAGGAACCGUGGCUCCUGCAAGCUCUCCAGCUUCUGCGGUCGAGGAAGACACACCAGAUGAGGAAAGAAGGCACGCUUUGUGAAAAGGGCCAUUUCCAACCCAAUGUGUGUCCACAUGGACAAAGCCCAUGACCUAAUAAGCAGAGCCCUCCAUAUCCCUAAAUCUGGAAUGUCCCCAAUACUAAACAGGCCUGGUUCUUCCUCGCACUCUGAAUUCAUGGUCAUUAGUAAGGCGUUCAUUCCUGCAGGCCCAGUAGAUGCUGACUCCAGUUUGGGCUGCAACGGGAGUAGCUAUUUUGUAUCUGGAAGCAGCAGUCCCACACCCCUGUCUGCACUCACCGCCCAGGGUCCCCCGUCACUCACAGCGCAUUGGCACAAUGGCCAGAAUCCCCCGUGACCGUCACCUCUCCCCCGCUUCAGGCUCUCCUGCUGUAGCCUCUUCUGUGGAAUUCUCCUUAUGACCCAUUAAAAUAAAAAAGCAACCCCAGGAAUCAUUUCUGACGUUCAGAUUCCAGAUGGAGACAGGCCAGCUUUUGCACAUGCAGUACUGCUGUGCAGAGGAAAUAACUUGGCUCGCAGGGUCAAUCUCAGCCCGUGCCUCAUGCCUGCGCUCUCCAAAUCCCACGGGAAUCCCAGGCUCUUACCUAGGGGCAGCUUUGUGGUGCUGCUCCGCCUGGAAGCAGCCUCUGGCACACAAUCUGGUUUCGGGUUCCACUACUCCUAGAUGACCCAGACCCAGACUCAUUCAUUGACCCUCUCCAGGAG
rnacentral:lncRNA from 1 species